rnacentral:rRNA from 1 species
UUCGGUGAUCAUGGCGGAGGGGAGACACCCGUUCCCUUUCCGAACACGGAAGUUAAGCCCUCCAGCGCCGAUGGUACUGCCGGGGUAACCCGGCAGGUCGUUGCCGAGC